AAACGUUACUGAUAAUAACUAGGAUAAGUUAGUAUAUCGCAUGAUAUGCAAAUGAAAGCUACGGCACUAAAGGAGAGCUUUGCGUCCUAUUAGCUAGUUGGUAAGGUAAGAGCUUACCAAGGCGAUGAUAGGUAGCCGGCCUGAGAGGGUGGACGGCCACAAGGGGACUGAGAUACGGCCCUUACUCCUACGGGAGGCAGCAGCC
rnacentral:rRNA from 1 species